rnacentral:rRNA from 1 species
AUCUGCCUGGUAGUGGGGGAUAACGUUCGGAAACGGACGCUAAUACCGCAUACGUCCUACGGGAGAAAGCAGGGGACCUUCGGGCCUUGCGCUAUCAGAUGAGCCUAGGUCGGAUUAGCUAGUUGGUGGGGUAAUGGCUCACCAAGGCGACGAUCCGUAACUGGUCUGAGAGGAUGAUCAGUCACACUGGAACUGAGACACGGUCCAGACUCCUACGGGAGGCAGCAGUGGGGAAUAUUGGACAAUGGGCGAAAGCCUGAUCCAGCCAUGCCGCGUGUGUGAAGAAGGUCUUCGGAUUGUAAAGCACUUUAAGUUGGGAGGAAGGGCAGUAAAUUAAUACUUUGCUGUUUUGACGUUACCGACAGAAUAAGCACCGGCUAACUCUGUGCCAGCAGCCGCGGUAAUACAGAGGGUGCAAGCGUUAAUCGGA